rnacentral:rRNA from 1 species
UCGAACGAUGAUCCCCAGCUUGCUGGGGGGAUUAGUGGCGAACGGGUGAGUAACACGUGAGUAACCUGCCCUUAACUCUGGGAUAAGCCUGGGAAACUGGGUCUAAUACCGGAUAUGACUCCUCAUCGCAUGGUGGGGGGUGGAAAGCUUUUUUGUGGUUUUGGAUGGACUCGCGGCCUAUCAGCUUGUUGGUGAGGUAAUGGCUUACCAAGGCGACGACGGGUAGCCGGCCUGAGAGGGUGACCGGCCACACUGGGACUGAGACACGGCCCAGACUCCUACGGGAGGCAGCAGUGGGGAAUAUUGCACAAUGGGCGCAAGCCUGAUGCAGCGACGCCGCGUGAGGGAUGACGGCCUUCGGGUUGUAAACCUCUUUCAGUAGGGAAGAAGCGAAAGUGACGGUACCUGCAGAAGAAGCGCCGGCUAACUACGUGCCAGCAGCCGCGGUAAUACGUAGGGCGCAAGCGUUAUCCGGAAUUAUUGGGCGUAAAGAGCUCGUAGGCGGUUUGUCGCGUCUGCCGUGAAAGUCCGGGGCUCAACUCCGGAUCUGCGGUGGGUACGGGCAGACUAGAGUGAUGUAGGGGAGACUGGAAUUCCUGGUGUAGCGGUGAAAUGCGCAGAUAUCAGGAGGAACACCGAUGGCGAAGGCAGGUCUCUGGGCAUUAACUGACGCUGAGGAGCGAAAGCAUGGGGAGCGAACAGGAUUAGAUACCCUGGUAGUCCAUGCCGUAAACGUUGGGCACUAGGUGUGGGGGACAUUCCACGUUUUCCGCGCCGUAGCUAACGCAUUAAGUGCCCCGCCUGGGGAGUACGGCCGCAAGGCUAAAACUCAAGGAAAUUGACGGGGGCCCGCACAAGCGGCGGAGCAUGCGGAUUAAUUCGAUGCAACGCGAAGAACCUUACCAAGGCUUGACAUGAACCGGUUAGACCUGGAAACAGGUCCCCCCGUUGCGGUCGGUUUACAGGUGGUGCAUGGUUGUCGUCAGCUCGUGUCGUGAGAUGUUGGGUUAAGUCCCGCAACGAGCGCAACCCUCGUUCUAUGUUGCCAGCACGUGAUGGUGGGGACUCAUAGGAG